UGAAAAAUGAAAGAAGUGAUCUGAUUGGUUGCUAUGGGCAACUCAACAACUUUUUCUCUGUACAGGUUUUGUUACCUGUGUGGUCAAGUUGUAUCCGGAGUAGCGACCUGGGUUUCGCCUGCCGUAGUAAGCCCAUCCUGCCCUGCAGCAGGCUCUGUUGAAGACCAGCAGCACCUGAGACUCCGCGUUAUCUGCCAAACAGGUUGGAGGACCCACAUCCAGUAGUGCUACUACCACAACCGUAUUCAUCCAAGACCUUGGGUACAUUAGGUUCUAGCAACCUUCGAGGAGUGAAGAGGUUAAACACUUGCCAAUCCCCAUAAGCCGAUGAAGAGCUGUAUUCCUAAAUCCUUUGUGGAGACGAUAACACUGGCCUUUCACAAAAGCCCUCAGUAAUGAGAAAGUGCCCUCCCUCUUUAAAUAAAUGCAUAACAAAUUGACUGGAGCUGUCUGUCUGAAGCCAAAAGGAAUCACUAAUCCCGCAAUUAAAGUUCAGGUUAAAAGGAUUUGCUGCCUGAUCCAUCCCACCUCUGUGCGGAGGUCUGCUGCCACUCUCGCUUCAUUAUCUUGUAAAUCCAUUUUUAUGAUGCCGAGCUCCCCCUCUUGUCACUCAUCUUCUGGACUUCAUGUGCCAGUCCACCGCAUUUGUGGAGCAAAGGACCCAAUGUAUUAGUUACAUGACCAUGCUUCUGCUCCAGGACCCUUUAUUUGCCAAUGCUUCCUAAUUGCAAAAAUAUAGAAGGGGAUAUAUCAAUGUCUUUAGAGCUAUUUUUGUGUGCAUAUUUGUCUCACAGUUGGUGCUGUACAGCAUCUCAGGCUCUUUUUUGCACCUUUUGGUUUACACUUUUUUUUAAGUGUGUACAGACCAGCUGAUAAAGGUGUACUCCGAUAGAAAACAAGAAGGAUAUACACCAUCCCAGACUUAGCUUAGUUUUUUGGUAAGUGUGUAGAGUUAAAUUUCAUAAAAUGUGUAUCUGCA